GUGUCAGCCGCCGCGGUAAGACAGAGGUGCCGAGCGUUAGGCGGAAUCACUGGGCUUAAAGCGUGUGUAGGCGGAUCCGUAAGUACCUUGUGAAAUCCCACGGCUCAACCGUGGAACUGCUUGGUAUACUGCGGGUCUUGAGCCAUCUAGGGGCAACCGGAACAAACGGUGGAGCGGUGAAAUGCGUAGAUAUCGUUUGGAACGCCAAUGGUGAAAACAGGUUGCUGGGGAUGUGCUGACGCUGAGACACGAAAGCCAGGGGAGCAAACGGGAUUAGAUACCCUCGUAGUCC
rnacentral:rRNA from 1 species